AUUGAACGCUGGCGGAAUGCUUUACACAUGCAAGUCGAACGGCAGCACGGACUUCGGUCUGGCGGCGAGUGGCGAACGGGUGAGUAAUGUAUCGGAACGUGCCCAGUCGUGGGGGAUAACGUAGUGAAAAUUACGCUAAUACCGCAUACGAUCUAUGGAUGAAUGCGGGGAACCGCAAGCCCACGGGCAUUUGGAGCGGCCGAUAUCAGAUUAGGUAGUUGGUGGGGUAAAGGCCCACCAAGCCAACGAUCUGUAGCUGGUCUGAGAGGACGACCAGCCACACUGGAACUGAGACACGGCCCAGACUCCUACGGGAGGCAGCAGUGGGGAAUUUUGGACAAUGGGCGAAAGCCUGAUCCAGCCGUUCCGCGUGCAGGAUGAAGGCCCUCGGGUUGUAAACUGCUUUUGUACAGAACGAAAAGGUUUCUACUAAUACUAGGAGCUCAUGACGGUACUGUAAGAAUAAGCACCGGCUAACUACGUGCCAGCCGCCGCAGUAA
rnacentral:rRNA from 1 species